rnacentral:rRNA from 1 species
UAGGGAAUCUUCCGCAAUGGGCGAAAGCCUGACGGAGCAACGCCGCGUGAGUGAUGAAGGUCUUCGGAUCGUAAAACUCUGUUAUUAGGGAAGAACAAAUGUGUAAGUAACUAUGCACGUCUUGACGGUACCUAAUCAGAAAGCCACGGCUAACUACGUGCCAGCAGCCGCGGUAAUACGUAGGUGGCAAGCGUUAUCCGGAAUUAUUGGGCGUAAAGCGCGCGUAGGCGGUUUUUUAAGUCUGAUGUGAAAGCCCACGGCUCAACCGUGGAGGGGCAUUGGAAACUGGAAAACUUGAGUGCAGAAGAGGAAAGUGGAAAUCCAUGUGUAGCGGUGAAAUGCGCAGAGAUAUGGAGGAACACCAGUGGCGAAGGCGACUUUCUGGUCUGUAACUGACGCUGAGGCUCGAAAGCGUGGGUAGCAAACAGG